UCGACUCCUACGGGGAGGCAGCAGUGGGGGAAUAUUGCACAAUGGGCGCAAGCCUGAUGCAGCCAUGCCGCGUGUGUGAAGAAGCCUUCGGGUUGUAAGCAUUCAGUCGUGAGGAAGGUAGUGUAGUUAAUAGCUGCAUUAUUUGACGUUAGCGACAGAAGAAGCACCGGCUAACUCCGUGCCAGCAGCCGCGGUAAUACGGAGGGUGCGAGCGUUAAUCGGAAUUACUGGGCGUAAAGCGCAUGCAGGUGGUUUGUUAAGUCAGAUGUGAAAGCCCGGGGCGUCAACCUCGGAAUUGCAUUUGAAACUAGGCAGACUAGAGUACUGUAGAGGGGGGUAGGAAUUUCAGGUGUAGCGGUGAAAUAGCGUAGAGAUCUGAAGGAAUACCGGUGGCGAAGGCGGCCCCCUCGGACAGAUACUGACACUCAGAUGCGAAAGCGUGGGGAGCAAACAGGAUUAGAUACCCUGGUAG
rnacentral:rRNA from 1 species